rnacentral:rRNA from 1 species
GACGAACGCUGGCGGCGUGCUUAACACAUGCAAGUCGAGCGGUAAGGCCCUUUCGGGGGUACACGAGCGGCGAACGGGUGAGUAACACGUGGGUGACCUGCCCUUAGCUCUGGGAUAAGCCUGGGAAACUGGGUCUAAUACCGGAUAUGACUCCAUAACGCAUGUUGUGGGGUGAAAGCCUUGUGCGGCUAGGGAUGGGCCCGCGGCCUAUCAGCUUGUUGGUGGGGUGAUGGCCACCAAGGCGACGACGGGUAGCCGGCCUGAGAGGGCGACCGGCCACACUGGGACUGAGACACGGCCCAGACUCCUACGGGAGGCAGCAGUGGGGAAUCUUGCGCAAUGGGCGAAAGCCUGACGCAGCGACGCCGCGUGGGGA